UGGUGAUCAACUUCAGCGUGGACUAAAGACACGGACUACUUCAUUAUUCCAGACUGGAAACCAGAACGACCCUCAAACAUCACUUGUGCCCCAGUGGUCGACGCCUCUCCUGGUCUACUAGUGAGGAAAAUCAGCUGCUGAUGCAUCAGCUCCAGGCGGACCGGUUCAGUGUCGCUGUGAAGAGAAACCUGACCUUUCCUGCCCAUUAUCUGGGCGUAGCUGUGGGCAGUAGCUGCACGGCUGCAGGUGACUCAUUUCUGAAGAGGUGUUUUAUUAACUAUGUGACUGGGAAUUUGAAUGAACUGGGGAUUAAGCUGGAAUCUGGUUGGGAAUUUGAAUUAUGAAUAGACUGGGAGUUUGGGAUUUGGGGUACCUGGUUGGGAAUUUAAUUAAAUAGGCUUUGAAUUAGAUUUGUAAGGGAUGAAGUAAUAAGAUGACGAUUUAUCAUGGAUCUGGCAGUCUGGCUAGGCUGGGAAUCUGGUUGGGCAUUUGAAUUAAUAUGCUGAAUAUUUAUCAGGGAUCUUGGAAUCUGGUUGGGCAUUUGCAUUAAUAUGCUGAAGAUUUAUCAGGGAAGUUUGAAUAAAAAGGCUGGGGUAUGCCUAGGAGCUGGGAAUCUGGCUAGGGUGGGAAUUUGGCUAGAAUUUUGAAUUAAUGAAGGUAUUUGUCGGAGAAUUUGAAUAAAUAAGAUGAAGAAUUCUGAGAAAUCUGUUAAGGAAUUUGAAUCAAUAGGUUGAGGGAUUUGUCAUGGAUUUGGAAAUCUGCCUAGAAAUCCAAAUCAAUAUGCUGGGGAGUUUGGCUGGAAAUUAAAAUAAACAUGCUUAAGAUUCAUCAGGGAUGUGAAAAUCUGACUCGAAUUUUGAAAAAGAAGACUAAGAUUUAUCAUGCAAUUGGGAAUCUAAUUGUAAAGUUAAAUUAGUAGGCUGGUGAUUUGUAAUGAAUCUCAGAAUAUGUUUGCGAUUUUGAACAUUCAGUGACUAAGCUAAAGAUUUGUGAGGGGGUGGCAAUCUGACUAGAAUUUUUAAUAAAUAUGCUGAAAUUUAUCAUAAUUAUUAUAAUUCAAAUUAAUAGGCAGUGGAUUUAUCAUUGGAAUGUGUUAGGGAAUUUGAAGGGGGAGUUUAAGGAGUUGAAAAUUAGCAUUUAUUAAAAGGCAGUCCGUCAGUUAUGCUAUGCUGUAGGCCUAUAAAGUUGUAAUGCCCAGUCAUUUUGACAGUAUGAACUACCACAUCUCUUAUUAAAGAUUUGCAUCUGU